rnacentral:lncRNA from 1 species
UCCAGAGUUCACAGGUGAUUUAUUCUUGAGAAGGAGCAACAUGGAUGAAGUAUACCACAUCUCUUCCACUGAGAAGGUCCAGCAGCUGGAAAGAGAACUAGCAGCACAGCUGGCAGAGCUGAAGGCACAAAUAGAAGACAAUGGGGUACUUCAGGGAACACCAAACAGGGCAUACAGUUCUGUUCCAAUUCCAAAAGAUGCAAUUUAUUUCAGAAGAGAAAGAGAGAGAGUACUGAAGAAAGUCUUACAGGUAGGUAGCUACAGUUUACACUAGCUUAAGAAAAUCACUUUGCUCUUAGGAUCAUAGAACAGAUUGAAUUGGAAGGGACCUUUAAAGGCUGUAUAGUCCAACUCCACUGCAAUGAACAGGGACACCCAUAGCUAGAUCAGAGUGCUCAGAGCCCCAUCCAGCCUGGCACUGAAUAUAGCAAAAGAUGGGGUGUCUUUGCACCUCACCAGGCAACCAGUUCCAGUGCUUCACCACCCUUACUGUAAAAAACUUCCUUAUAUCCGACCUAAAUCUCCCUUCUUUUAGUUUGAAACCAUUUCCCUUGACUUCUCUUUAUUUAACGCUAUUUCUUUCCAACGGCCUGAAAAGGAUGUCUGCUCACCACCCGCUGUUUGCAGGUGGCGGAAGCGAAGCCUCUUGUUAUUCAGGCUGAUGUCAUGCAGAGGGAGUUAGAGAGCUGCUGGAGAAGGGAGUACACGGCAUCAAGCUUGCCGCUGCUGCUGCAUCAGUUUUUUACAGACAGAAUCACUCAGCUGGUCCAGAGUAAAUAUCUGCACAUGCUCAGAUGGAAGAGAUUUUGUACACACAGCAGUGUUAUUGAGCAGCUUUAUCCUCUCUACCAGAAGCAAGUUAGUCACAUCAUGGAUGAAUACAACGAUGCAGUUCAGAGGGCUUCAAGGCUUUCAGCUGCAAGGGAGAACUUCCUGACAGGAAAGAAAAAUCCAAUGAGUUUAGUGACACAGGAAGAUCUGAUGAUUUACACCCAAUGGUUAGUGUGCCACCUACACUCUCUGAAGGGCAUUCACCGUUUUCUCCAGGUUCUCCAGCAUUUGCCCAUUUCUCACAAACUGAGCAUGGCUGAUGAGAAAUGUCCUGAUGUGAUCCAAGACAAAUGGGACAAGUUAAGGAGUGCAUUUGACAGAAAUUCAGAUGUUUUUAAUACUGAUGUGUUUCACUGUUCAAAAUUUUUAAGAAAUGAAUCUUGCCACAAGGACACUGGAUUCACUCUGCCCUGUCACAGCACUGGAACAAAGGAGCUGAAAGCCCAGCUCCAGCUUCUGCUGGCUCAUUUUGAUAUUGACUACAAUCUUAAAGAUCUCAAGGACCCAGCUGAUGAGAUGGAGCUCUUUUCUUUGGUUGUCAAAAAAUUUAGGAGCAUUUUCUGCAAACAGCAGACAAUGAGAACAUUUCCAGUUUAUGGCACAGAGAUUUCUCGAUCAGAGAACUGGGGCAUGUUGGAUCCAACCAGAGCUUUGAAGAAGAGAGCCAACUGGAUCCCUUUUAUAAAGAUUAAGCCUAAAGUAGAUCCCUGGCAGCAAAAGCUUUUGAUAAAAAUGAAACAAUGGAAAAAAGUGGACAAGAUGCUGGACUUUCAUUCAAAAUUUGUAGAGGUGUCAGACGUGGAGAGGGUGAUGGAGGGUCUCCAGGAUCAUGCAGCAGCUGUGCUCAAACCGCAUCCUCUGAGGUCAGAUUCUGCCGCUUGUUCUCAUGCCUCAGGACAGCAGAACUACGAUCACAUCUGGAAGGAAGUCUACGCCUUCACUGAGCGUCACCAGAGACCUGUUCUCACACCUGCAUGGAGGCAAGUUCCUCUUCUCAACAGGGAAGUGGAAUUAGUGGGCAUGGCCUUAAGAAGCUCCAGUUGCUGCAAGAACAGAAACUUCGAGAGAUCUUAAGUUUCAGAGAGAGGAAACAAAAACCAACCAAGAGGCUUGACAGAGUAGUGAAGGAGAAGUAGGACUGACCUACCUCUCUGGUAUCUGGGGAAUUUGUAGCAUUGCAUACACGGCAUGCUCAAGCUCUGUGACUGGUCUGCUGAACCUGAAAGUAUUCUUUUGAUGAAGAUGGAUUUUGAUUACCUAUUUCUUUAUCACCCUCCUUAUUCAGGUGUCAUUCACAGCUGCUGCUUAAGGAACAUAAAACAGGUCUCAGCUACUGGACCUGGGUGCAGCCCCAGUGUCACAGGGGGUGUCCCUCAAUCCUGCUGAGGGCCAGGCUCAGGCAGGGCUGUGAGUGAUACAAGAGCAGGGGAAAUGCAGCAGAGGCAGGAAGGUACUUCUUUGUAUUUUUCUCCUGCUGAUCAAUAUGCUUCAAGACUGAUCCCAACUCAGUUUAAAAAUAAACCCAUAUAUUUUUUGUCA